rnacentral:misc_RNA from 1 species
CAUCAAAGGCGAACCAUGAUCGAUCGCAUCGAAAUCUUCGUGACCGCGCUCACCACCCGCGUGCAGCGCAUCUUCUCGAGCGGAAGCUACGACACCGGCCCGGUCGAGCGGCUGCUCAGCAAACCCGUGCUCGUCAAAGUGCACGCCGACGGCGUGGUGGGAUGCGCGCAGAUUCGCCCGAUCAGCCCGGGCCACUUCGUGGCGGACACCACCCACAGCGUCGUCUCCGCGAUCAAGGAGAUCUACGGGCCCGGUCUCCUCAAGAAAUCGAUUUUCGACAUCGAAUCGAUCAACGAAGGAUUCGACAACCGGCUCGCGGGCAACCCCGCCGCGCGCGCGGUGCUCGACAUCGCGAUACGCGAUGCGAUGGGCAAGGCUUUGAACACGCCGCUCUACAACCUGAUCGGGGGCUGCUCCCAGCCGCGCAUUCCGCUCGAGUGGUC